AUGUCGCCUGUAGUGAAGAACAAUAUUCUGUUGGAAAGCAAUCUUGUCGGGAAAGAAAUCCUUGUCUCUAAUACAGUAGGGGGAUGACGGUACCGGAAGAAUAAGCACCGGCUAACUUCGUGCCAGCAGCCGCGGUAAUACGUAGGGUGCGAGCGUUAUUCGGAAUUACUGGGCGUAAAGCGUGUCGUAGGCGGUUUGUUAAGUCCGAUGUGAAAUCCCUGGGCUCAACCUGGGAACUGCAUUGGAGACCUGCAGGUCUUGAGUACGGCAGAGGUGAGUGGAAUUCCUAGUGUAGCAGUGAAAUGCGUAGAUAUUGGAGGAACACCCAUGGCGAAGCCGCCUUCUCUGGCCAUUACUGACGCUGAGGGCGAAAGCGACCUUU
rnacentral:rRNA from 1 species